CUCAAGUGAGUUGUGACAUGAAGCUCCCAAGCUCGGACCUUAUGCUUUUCACUCGUAUUUUACCUACGUGUUUUAAACCAUUAACGCGUGAGCUUUAAAAAGCUUAGUAAGUACUCAAAGAUAAGUCGACUUAUCCUAUCCUAAUAUAAAUGUUGAGUCUCUUAUCAAGAACUAUUCAAGAUUCAUUUCCAUUAUAUUAUGCCAUUUUUCAACUAAUUCAAAUUUGAUUAUCGAAUUAUGGAACUCAACAUACUGGUCAAUGGUUCUUUAACAAUUCACAAUAGAAAUUCAUGUUGAAGAUCAUCAUCAAGGUUAUUGAUAUUUUCCAUUCUAAGUCCAUAGCCCUUUUCACUUAACUUUCUAACUUAUUCACGGGUGAGUACCACAUAUGGCUAUGAGAAGUGGGAAAACUCACAUGGGAAUAAUUUAGAAAGUUAAGUUUAUAAAAAGAAAAAUUUAUAAGUCCAAAAACCAAAUAAAUUUAGGAAAAACGUAAGCAGAAUAAUUUAUAAGUCCGAAGUCCAUCAUAUGUCCGCAUGCCAUGUUCGAUCCUAGUCUCAAGCAUUACUUGAGAUGGUUGAAACUAUGGGGUGAGCUAACUAGCAUAAACAUAAUAUUAUUCAUAUAUCAUUCAUCAUUAAUAACAUUGUAACACAAACAUAGCAUAAACAUUACCAUUCAAAAGUGUCAUGGACAAAACAUAAUACAUAAUGAUUUCCUACCCCAACCAUCCGCUACACACCACAAGUUCCCCAGAACUCAUCUGCCAAACUCCAUACAUUGCGAGUUGAGCUCAAUGUGGUUAAACCACCAUUAUAUGUAAUGAAGAUAUACUGCCAUUCAAAAUAAAUAUGAUAUAAUCGUUGUUCUCCUCAUUACUCCCAGUGCAGUGCACUGACAACAUAUAUGCGGACUUAAUAUGCCUCCAUUACUUCACGGAACUCCUCCUUCAUCCACAUAAUCCCAUCCUAUGCACAUGUAAUAUGUCAUACAAAUUUCAAUUAAAAUCAUGUUUCCAUUACAUUCCCAUUUCAAUAGCAUGUUUUGCAUGCUCAUAACAACAUUCACUUUCAUUCGAUAAUAACAUUUAUCAAUCAUUUAGUUUCACCAUCAAUACAGUGACAUUCCAACAUGUCAUAGUUUCAUUAUCAUUCAUAAGAAAUUUUCCAGUGCAUGUGUAGCAGUCUUUCAUAUAUUUCACAACAUUUUACCCAAACAUACAUUUCAUUUUUAUUCUAAUACGUGCUACUCAUACAACCAGCGUACAUUAUAUCACAAAAUAAUUCAUAUUAAUUCAUAUCAAUACCAGACAUUCAAACAUUCAAUCAGUCAUGCAACAUUGCAAACAUGCCAUUUAUCUAAGGUUCGAAACGUACCUGAUUCAGCCACAUUAAAAUCACUUACUUAGCCAUUUAACUAAGUUUGACCAACAAGCUUAAUCAUCAUUUUAAGUAUUAAAAAGAUUAUUUAACAUUUAAAUUUUAUAGGUUGGAACCCACACCUUAUUUUUGUACAACUGUAGCACUACUUACCAAACUUGCGAUUCCUCCUUUAGACUUAAAUUGAACCUAAAUUAAAAUACAAUAUUUAUCGAGUUAAAAUGUUUCCAAAUCAGCCCUAAAGCACCCUCUUAAAGGUUCAAUCAAAUUAGCAUUACCGUAAUAAUUUUUUGUCUAAAUCGACUAGGCUACUUACACUGAUUUGAUGCGAAACAUACGUACGAAUGAGUUUUGUAGUCAUUGAUGAUCCGAGAAGUUUAAAUCAGCAUAUAAACAUAAUUAAUCCCCAAAAAUCAGUAACCAAAACCCCUGUUCAGAUUUUAAAGCAAUCGACCAAAGAAGAAAUUAGUAAUAAAGAAAAACAGUGCAAGAUCUCGCACAAGUUUGCACUUUGCACCACCCAUUACCCUGAUCUGAGUUGUCGGAUGAACAUCUUUCUGAAUUAUCAAUUAGGAACGUUUAAAUCAGAACCAAAUAGAGGGAAAAAUCUAAAAAAUUAAAAUAGUAGGGGCGAAAAUUGAAGAGAAACGACAAUCCCAAAACAAUGGUACUCUAAGGGCGUGGCAACACCAUUUGAGGUGACAAAAAAGGCAAAUCUGGGGUGCUACAAGGAGGGAUCUUUGGACAACCAAAAAGAAAAAUUUUAAGGGCUAGAAUGAUUGACUUAUUGGAUAUAAAAAUAGUAGCCAAAAAUCGGAUCACAAAGUAUAAGAACAGAGAAAAAAAAAUAGGAUUUACUAGCAUUGAUAUGAACAAGGGAGAGGGAGUGGCAAUGGACAGUAAAAGAGGAUGUUAGGAGAGAAAAAAAAGAAAUUUUAGGGCAGAAAAUAAGGAUGGUUUAGGAGGUCUAAAUGUUCAAUAAGGUGACUGGACAAACCAAAAUAGAAAAACUCUAACAACAGGGCAACACAACUGUGAUGAAAUCCCAAAAAAAGGACGAAACUUUGAGAGAAAAAAAAUAAGAGACGAGAGGAGAACUGCUAGGGUAGGAGAAAAAAAUAGACUUAAGGCUGAAAAGUAAGUGAAAAAGUGAUAUUUAUACUUAGGUUAAAAGGCAUGAGUAGCAUAAAAACAGGGGGAAGGAGAAAAAUUAGCAAAAU
rnacentral:lncRNA from 1 species